AUGUCAGAGGGAAAGGUGAGAAAGUUAGCAUUCCCCUUGACAAAGAUGGAAAGAGGUCCUUGGGCCUAACAACAUGUAUACAGUUAAGGCAUUGCUACCUACUUCGUAGCACCUAACCACUGUUUUUA